rnacentral:rRNA from 1 species
UACGGGGGGGGCAAGCGUUGUUCGGAAUUACUGGGCGUAAAGGGCUCGUAGGUGGCCAACUAAGUCAGACGUGAAAUCCCUCGGCUUAACCGGGGAACUGCAUCUGAUACUGGAUGGCUUGAGUUUGGGAGAGGGAUGCUGGAAUUCCAGGUGGUAGCGGGUGAAAAUGGCGUAGAUAUCUGGAAGGAACACCGGUGGCGAAGGCGGCAUCCUGGACCAACACUGACACUGAGGAGCGAAAGCCAGGGGAGCAAACGGGG